CUAAGGAGUUUAUUGUAUGCUAAGAGAAUGGAUAUCAAAAAACAACUUUCUUAAAAUUAAAAAUUGAAAUUUUUUUAAUUUGUGUAAAAACAAUUAUAAAAAUUAAAGACAAGAAGACCCUAAGAAUUUUUAAAAUUUAAAUUAUACAUUUUUUGUUUUAAUUAAUUUUAACUGGGGCGGUUAAGAAAUAUUAAAAACUUUUUUAAUUAAAAAUGACCCAUUAUUAAUGAAAAUAUGAUGUAAUCUCUAGGGAUAACAGCGUUAUAUUUUUUGAUAGAUCAUAUUGACAAAAAAGUGUUGCGACCUCGAUGUUGGAUAUAGAAACUUUUUUAAUGAAGAUAGUACAAGAUACAGCAGGUUUGUUCAACUUUUAAAUCCUAAAUUAUUUCAUUUCAGAUCAA
rnacentral:rRNA from 1 species